rnacentral:rRNA from 1 species
AUUGAACGCUGGCGGCAGGCCUAACACAUGCAAGUCGAGCGGAGCGACGGACGGAUGAGUAAUGACUAGGAGUCUGCCUGGUAGUGGGGGAUAACGUCCGGCAACGGGCGCUAAUAAAGCAUACUCUCAGAUGAGCGCAGGUCGGAUUAGCUAGUUGGUGGGGUAAAGGCCUACCAAGGCGACGAUCCGUAACUGGUCUGAGAGGAUGAUCAGUCACACUGGAACUGAGACACGGUCCAGACUCCUACGGGAGGCAGCAGUGGGGAAUAUUGGACAAUGGGCGAAAGCCUGAUCCAGCCAUGCCGCGUGUGUGAAGAAGGUCUUCGGAUUGUAAAGCACUUUAAGUUGGGAGGCGUUACCAACAGAAUAAGCACCGGCUAACUUCGUGCCAGCAGCCGCGGUAAUUC